rnacentral:misc_RNA from 1 species
GAUGAAGAACGCAGCGAAAUGCGAUACUUGGUGUAAAUUGCAGAAUCCCGUGAACCAUCGAGUCUUUGAACGCAAGUUGCGCCCGAAGCCAUCAGGUUGAGGGCACGUCUGCCUGGGCGUCACAUAUCGUUGCCCAAUGCCUAUUGCAGUGCAAUAGGAAUUUCUAGGGCGAAUGAUGGCUUCCCGUGAGCGUUGUUGCCUCGCGGUUGGUUGAAAAUCGAGUCCUUGGUAGGGUGUGCCAUGGUAGAUGGUGGUCGAGUUAGAACGAUACCGAUCAUGUGCAUGCUCCCCAAAAUAUGGCCUCUAUGACCCACACGCGUCUUUUGACGCUCAUGACGAGACCUCAGGUCAGGCGGGGCUACCCGCUGAAUUUAAGCAUAUCAAUAAGCGGAGGA